rnacentral:rRNA from 1 species
CUACGGGCGGCAGCAGUCAAGAAUCUUUCACAAUGCGCGAAAGCGUGAUGGAGCAAUGCCGCGUACGGGAUGAAGCCCCUCGGGGUGUAAACCGUUUUUAUCGGGGAAAAACUUUGAUGGUACCCGAAGAAUAAGAGGUUGCUAACUCUGUGCCAGCAGCAGCGGUAAUGCAGAGACCUCAAGCGUUAUCCGGAUGUAUUGGGCGUAAAGCGUCUGUAGGCGGUUUGUUAAGUCUUCGGUCAAAUCUGAGGGCUCAACCUUAAGACUGCCGGAGAAACGAAUAAGCUAGAGAAUGGGAGAGGCAAAUAGAACUGUCGGUGUAGUAGUAAAAUGCGUUAAUAUCGACAGGAAUACUCAAGGCGAAAGCAUUUUGCUGGAACAUUUCUGACGCUGAGAGACGAAAGCGUGGGUAGCGAAUGGGAUUAGAUACCCCGGUAGUC